rnacentral:lncRNA from 1 species
CUUUUCGGACGAUCUGUGAGAGCAAAGCAGACAAGAUGUAGGCAGGGGACUGAUAGUUCUGGUGGCGGAAUCCACCACUGGAAGAUUUCGAACAUAGAAUAGUUGAUGAAUUUAGGAUGAUAGAGUCCGUGCCCAGCGAUUGUGUGAUCUGUUGAUUCUAAACUAAGAUUGUCGGGUGUAUUCCAUUCUGCAACGAUUCAACUGAGCGCCAGUGAAAGCUCAAGUCCAAGUGGAUCAAGGACUUCCACAUAAAACCAGAGACAUGGAAACUAAUAGAAGAGAGAGUGGAUUUUCAUGACUUUUCCCAGUUAUUUUCGUUAUACUUAAUUCCUCAGUAUUAACCACUCUCUGGGACUUCGGAGGAGCCAUCUUCUGCCUGAUUGUGACACCUGCCCCGUGAUUCCUCCUUCUGUCCAUUCCAACCCAGCAGGUCCAGAGUUUUCACAGACAUAUACUUGCUAGACAUCAUUAAUGCAAGCAGCUCACCAUGCUCUGACCACUCAGUAUGAGGAGUAUAAAGUCCUUUCAUAUCUGCUAUCACCCAGAAAGACUGCAGUUAUUUCCCGUUAAUCUCUAUCAAGAGCAAACCUGUUUCCGAAGCACAUUCUCAACCUGGCUCCUUGCUCCUCAGGGUUAUUCUCUCGUUCUGGCUGAAAUGUCAUUGUCUUGCGGGUAGUCUUGAUGUCUUUUUGCACAAAUGUGAAUUUUCCCUUCCUGAGUAUCACGUAAUUUUGAUUGUAUUUCACCAGGUAUGUAUUUUACUUCAAAAUGAUCCAAACUUAUAUUUUAACCAAACACGGGGGAAUUUCAUUGCUGCCACAUCUAGCAGACGGCACAAAAUAGCACCUGGUUGGAGGAACUAAUUAGGGAUGUUUCUGCACAACGAAUCAGAAGAAUGAAAAGACGUGGAAACCUCUCCUGUCUGAAAUUCAAGCUCACACUCCUGUCCUCUGUUCCUUUCCUUAAAGCUCCACUGGAUGCGGGACUAUUUUUCAAAAUUAAAGUGACCAACACUGGAGAUAAAGUAGUUGGGAUUAAACCUGAAGGCUUAUUUCACCACACUAAAGGAAAGAAAGACCACUGUAUUGUGUCUUACGAAGGCCAUGGUAGGAGGAUGGAGUGUCUGCUGAUCUAUAUGAACAAGGAGCGGCUGGAAAACCAGAAACGUAACUUCUGGAAGUUGGAGCUAUCCAUCUGGCUUACUUACUGAGAACUGUAGGCACCCGCACUGCAAGCAUUAUUUAUAUACUAAGUAAUGCAUUUAAGAUUUAUGAGGAAUGAGAAGUCACACCACACCUAGAAGGGUGUGAACACGGAAUGCCUGCACUCAGGGAGAGAUCUGCGUCAGCUGUAUUUUUGAUCAAAAGUUGUUCCCAUAGUGACAACACUCUCCCCCUUAUCAGUAUUUCUUCUUGUUACUUGGUUACCAAAAUAUGAAAUGAAUACUGAAUGCAGGUCAUGAGCAUGAGAGCGAAUAUAAAGCUAACUAGUUAUCUAGGUCUAACUCUGUCAUGAUUUUUCUUUAUAUUUUUGGUGGUGGUUAAAUACAUAAAUAUAUUCAGUGGUCUAAGUAUAGAACCCAAUAUGAAGCCCACAGCCUCCAAAUGCCUAUUGUAACUUCCCAGAAGUUCACUGAGGUAUACAAACCUUAGGUCUAAUAAAUUCACUGUGUAAUUUUUUUAUUUACAUAAUUGUUAAAAUAAAAUUUAUUAAAAUGUA